UACAGAGGUCUCAAGCGUUGUUCGGAUUCAUUGGGCGUAAAGGGUGUGUAGGUGGCGCCGUAAGUCGGGUGUGAAAUUUCGGAGCUUAACUCCGAAACUGCAUUCGAUACUGCGGUGCUUGAGGACUGGAGAGGAGACUGGGAAUUCGAUGGUGUAGCAGUGAAAUGCGUAGAGAUCAUGAGGAACACCGGUGGCGAAGGCGGCGUCCUGGACCAACACUGACACUGAUGAGCGAAGCCAGGGAGCAAACGGG
rnacentral:rRNA from 1 species